rnacentral:rRNA from 1 species
AGGACGAACGCUGGCGGCGUGCUUAACACAUGCAAGUCGAGCGGAAAGGCCCUUCGGGGUACUCGAGCGGCGAACGGGUGAGUAACACGUGAGCAAUCUGCCCCUAGCUUCGGGAUAGCUCCGGGAAACCGGAAUUAAUACCGAAUACGACCACGGCCGACAUCAACUGUGGUGGAAAGUUUUCGGCUAGGGAUGAGCUCGCGGCCUAUCAGCUUGUUGGUGAGGUAACGGCUCACCAAGGCGACGACGGGUA